UACGUAGGGGGCUAGCGUUGUCCGGAAUCAUUGGGCGUAAAGAGCGUGUAGGCGGCCAGAUAAGUCCGCUGUGAAAUCUCGAGGCUCAACUUCGAGCUGUCGGUGGAAACUGUCUGGCUAGAGUCCGGAAGAGGAGAAUGGAAUUCCUGGUGUAGCGGUGAAAUGCGCAGAUAUCAGGAAGAACACCCGUGGCGAAGGCGGUUAGCUGGGCAGUUGCUGACACUGAGGCGCGACAGCGUGGGGAGCAAACAGG
rnacentral:rRNA from 1 species